UGUAUCGGAAGCCUGACGAGGAUGAGAACCUCCGGGGGCAAGAGGUUCGACUCGAGCGCAGCGAGAGAACGUUGCGUCAGCAACGGCCCGCAGGGCGAG
rnacentral:sRNA from 2 species